rnacentral:rRNA from 1 species
UACGUAGGGUGCAAGCGUGUCCGGAAUUAUUGGGCGUAAAGAGCUCGUAGGCGGUCUGUCGCGUCGGCUGUGAAAACCCGAGGCUCAACCUCGGGCCUGCAGUCGAUACGGGCAGACUAGAGUUCGGUAGGGGAGUCUGGAAUUCCUGGUGUAGCGGUGAAAUGCGCAGAUAUCAGGAGGAACACCGGUGGCGAAGGCGGGACUCUGGGCCGAUACUGACGCUGAGGAGCGAAAGCGUGGGGAGCAAACAGGAUAGAAACCC